ensembl:snRNA U2 U2 spliceosomal RNA
AUCACUUCUCGGCCUUUUGGCUAAGAUCAAGUGUUGAAAUACCCUCAUAUAUGUGAACUCCUAGAAGAUUGAAACUAUACUUUAUUCAUUUUUAUUCAUUUUUGUAUCAGUUAGGCCUAGUAUUGUGUCUGGCACAUGUUAAUAGAAAUGUUGUAAUUCCAGAUAGUUACAUAAUCAUCUCCCCCACA